CUUCGUCGCCCCGCCCCUGCCCCGCCCCGCCGCACCGCUGCACCGACGAUCGCCGCACCGCACCGCCGGACGAUCUUCGCCGCCCUGCCCCGCCGCACCGCCGCACCGACAAUCACCGCACCGUACCACACCGCCACACCACCGCCGGUGAAUUCCAACCAUCACGCCGACGAUCACCUCCACUGAUAACGGAGUUGGUUAUGUUAGAAUUUUCCGUUACGGCGUUGUUUAAGUGGACUCCUUCGCGGUGGCCGUGCUAGCUCUUCAUCCCCCCUAUAUAUACUCACUUUCACUAACCGCCCCAUUUCUCCAUCUCUCUCUCUUUCCAGGGUUUCAGGUGAUCUUAAUUCCCAGAGAUGUUUGGCUAAUUUUCAUGCCAUUUCUUGCUUUUGAUCAUUAUCAAUUAGAGCUUUGCUAAUUUUAGAUUCGAUCAAACCCUUCCAUUCAUGACCUUCAUCGGAGCUCAAGAGCCCACUGGUCGUUCCUGUAAUUCCUUUUUGCGUUUGGUGGGGAAUUGGGGAGCAAUGUGAAUGUUCGUGUCUUAGCAAAUCCAGUAUUAAGUGCACGAGAUGGGGAUAUUGGGCCAUGCUCUGGCUGCUUUUUUUGAGUUUUCGUGGCCUUUUUGAAGAUGGAGAGUGCUACUAGAUUACUUCAAACAUAAA